rnacentral:rRNA from 1 species
CGGGACGGGGUGGAGUAACGCGUGGAUAACCUGCCUCACACAGGGGAGUAACAGUUAGAAAUGACUGCUAAUACCGCAUAAGCGCACAGUACCGCAUGGUACAGUGUGAAAAACUCCGGUGGUGUGAGAUGGAUCCGCGUCUGAUUAGGUAGUUGGUGGGGUAACGGCCCACCAAGCCGACGAUCAGUAGCCGACCUGAGAGGGUGACCGGCCACAUUGGGACUGAGACACGGCCCAA